CAGUGACUUCAAAUUAUAUUUCAACACUGUUCUCAAAAUAAAAUAACUGUUAGCUACCAAGCUACUUCUAGAAUUACGUUACCACGCAAGCCUGUUGCUGUAAAGUUAUUCGAUGGUUGAGAUAACUGCGGAUACAUUUGCGAGAUGUACAUUAUUAAUUAAAUAAUAUUUAUGCUUGCUACACGUAAAUACAAUAUUCAUAUUCAGACUUUAUUGAUAAGGUGGUGUUGAUAAAUUCAAAAACUACAUGCAAAGUCAAACUUCUGCUGUUAUUUAAGCAAAAGUAUUGUUCUGCAUUUACUCACAGGUUUCCGGAAGAAGAUGCCGAAGAAGGGGAAAAAAGAACAAUGAAAUCCUCCUUGCAUGGACCAGGUCUGUCAUAAAUCAUAUGUGGUUUUCCUGUGCAACCAGUAAGGGGGACGUCGAGGUGCUGAAAUGCCGGUGGAAGUCCAUUCUACACCAUAUAUUAAACAUAAUAUUAUAUUACUACUCUUAUAAUCUUAGUUCCUGCACUACAAUGGUACCACACUGUCCAUAGCUGUACAUAUCUUAUCUAUAUGGUUCUUGCUAAAUAUAAAUAUUUAUUGUGUUUUUCUUAUUUAUAAUAUAUUCUGUUUAUACACUACAUAAAUUAAUAUUAUUUAUACUACUAUUAGGUUACUGUUACUACAUCGCACAUAUCUGUUCAUACAUGCUUCAUAUUACAAAUCCAUAUUUAUUCUGCUCUUACAAGGUAACAGCUAAUAAACUGCACACAUUUAUAUUUUAUUUAUAUUACUCUAAAUCACCUUCUGUAAACAAACAGUAUACUACUGUCUAUACUGCACUAUAUUUUUUGCAGUUCUGG